AUGGGUGAUCCAUAUGAAUGCGAUAGGGGACUUUUAUUUUGGUGGAUGAGCAGAUCUGUCUGUCUGGGUUUUACCCAUCACAUCUUCAUCACAUUCGGACAUAUAUCAUCGCUGUUUUCCAUCACUACCGACACUGUCAUCGCCUGUUUUUCGAUCCAGGAUAAUUAUCUGCCUCUUUACCUUACCGUGGUCCACUGUCUGUGUUUCAGCAGCAGAAAUGGACAACAGCUCAACGACUUGUCCGUUUGACACACAGGUAAAAAGAUUUUGAUUUUGUCAUUUCAUACCCAGAUAAGACGGGUUUUAAUGUUAUUUCAGAUUAUGCUGUCUUUUCAGUAUUUCUGCAUAAAUAUAUAUAUUUCGAUGAAUCCUCCUUGCAACACGUUAGCUCAAAAUAGGCUUUCCUCGUUUAACACUGUACGCAAUAUGUGGUCAUCACAUCGAAAAUAUAUAAAUACAUGUUUUAUUUCAGUGCUUUUGCUUAUUUAUUUACUUGUUUGGCCUCUUAGAAAUAACUAAAAUAAUGAAAGGAAGAGAUAGUGGCAUUGUUUUUAGGCGAUCUCAUUAGCAAUGGCUUGCUAACUCAUUAACGUUAGUUUAUUAGAUGCGGUUUAGCUUGAUUGAAUUAAAUAAGAUCCGAGUCGUUUUCGGCUUGUCCCUCAUCGGUUUCACAACUUUGAUUGGGGAUUUAUUUUGUUACGCUCGUUUUGGUUCUCUUUUGGGCUGUUAGUGUUUUGUCGGUGUGCAUCGAGUCGCUAAACAAGCCUUUUAAUGUGCAGUCACAUUAUUAAAUACGUUUUUACAUCAGACAUGUAGUUUUGUCGGAGCAGAUAGCGUUUAAGUGUAUUGGGGGGAUUUACAUUGUUGUCGAUCGUGUAAAUGAAUGACGGUGAUGUGUCGUUUUACUAGUGCUUGUCAAUAUGUCGAAUAUUUGCACAGUUGACAGAGCCAGUGAGCGAAUGCGCAUGCGCACACUGCUUUACCCAUACAGCCUCCUACUGGAAAAGUAAAGCAGACACUAGAGAUCUACUAACUGAAGUGUGUGUGUAUAUAUGUAUAUGUAUGUAUGUAUGUAUGUAUAUAUAUAUAUAU
ensembl:lncRNA